rnacentral:lncRNA from 1 species
AAAUUGGGCAUACAAUUGCAAUAUCACACAUUUUGGAGCAUACAAGUUAGAAUAUACAACUUGAUCAUGAUGAUCAGAAAACCACUAACUGUUGAUUUUGUUCUAUGUUGCACAAUGAAGAUCUUGAGCAAUGUCUCAUGAAACCAGAGAUCAACCUUUCCCUCUCUUCAUUGUUAGAUCCUCUUUUCUUAAGAAGAGACAGAACAUACUCCAGGAACACAGCAUCACAAGGCAGUGAGAUAGGUCCAUCACCUGAAAACCCAAACUCUUCUUCUGAUAGCCUUAAGAGCUCUUGGAACAUCCUAGUACUGAGAAAUGCCAAGGGAACCAUGAAUCUUCUUCCUUCAGAGGAAUACACGAUGAAGUGGCCUCUAUCUGCAAUUGAUGUGGUUUUUGUGUUGGACUCUAGAGAAGCAUCCCUCCUCAUCCAUGAGAUUCUUUUCCUUCCUAAGGCAGCCAUCUUCUGCCACUUCCUUGCUAUCUCAAGGAGUCUCCUUGGGGUAAGCAUGGCUUGCUGAUUGGCUAAAACACAAUACACUAGAGACGCUGUUAUAGGGUUUCUGAGGAUUUGAGUGGCUUGGUCACUAGAGCCAUUGAGGCUGUCUACUUAUAGGCUAGAGAAAAAGACUCAUGGAGAUCCAAGAGCUCUCUUGAUGAUGGUUGAGAUGAAGCAGAGCCAUGUGCUCAGCAGACAAGGAGGUAAUGUGGAAUGCUGCAUAUUUGGAUUAGAAUGUGAGGUUGCUGUGUCUUGUUGAUUGUAGGUCAUAUUUGAGUGUCUAGCAGUGGAGUUUCUUUCUGUCCACUAAAUAAUUAGUGGCAAGUGCCUUCUCAGUAAUAUAACUACAAGAUUUUGAUGUCUGAAUAUAUACAAAUUUUGUUGUUAGUUGAGGUGUCAUUGAAGGCCCACUUGCACAUGAUAUUUUCCCUCCUAAAUUGCUUCAUUUGAUUGAAGUGUCUAGUUCAAUGCAAUUUAAUAUUUUGUUGGCAAAUGAAGUACAGGAACAUGGAUUUUCCUUCAUCCAUGCCAUAGUUUCCUGUAGUGCAGGCUUAGGGACCUGUCAACUCCUAGAAUGAAAUCAAUUUUGUUUGUAACCACCUCAAAAAAUAAAAAAAAUCUUAUAACGGUCCUAGCUAUGACAAUGCCACAUGCUCAGCAGACAAGGAGGAAAUGCCAUGUUUGUAUUAUAUGUUGAUUUUUUUAAUAUUACUUUGUCAUGAUGGAGCAUAUUUAAGUGGUCUACAUUCUACAAUGCAUUUUCCUUCUCACCAAUUUGACAACUGGUCGACAUGUUGGUCCUGUCUAUUACAAGUCUAAUAGGUGUUUCUCAUUAAAUUGGUAUGUAACUCACAUUUGAACUUUUGGUAGGAACUAUUUCAUAUUUGACGAGUCCUAUUUCUCGUCCUAUUUAUUAUUCUGUUUCGUUAAGUUAUUAUAUAGCUGAAGCUUCUGUGAGUAUGUAGAUUUAAUUGUUUGUGAAGAGUCCUGGAAACUGCAAGUUAUCCUGUUGCAUAUACAUUAGUUUGUUUGCUUAGUAGUGUAUACAUAGUUAAGCACAUGAGGUAGUUUGUCAUUUUUGACGAUUAAUUAUAUGGAGCUUAGCUUUCACCUUUAUGACACUGUACCAUAUGUUUCUAUGGAGUCUUACACACCCAUGUGAUGGCGGGUAUGAUAUAUUAUAAAAAAUAGAUGAAACUUAUCUGCUACCUAGACUCUACUACCUUAGUGAUCCACAAUUGAAAAACUUCUCAACAUUUACUACAAUUUUUCCACCUCAACUGAUCAGGACAUUCAACUCAAACUUUGGUGCUAAAAAUUCCUCGACACUGUUAUAUCACUCUGUCCUUAGUAGGAGUAUCAAACUUGAAAUUGUGCAGCACUACAUAGACGAUCAAACAGUAGUGAUCCAGUGUCAAGAAAUGUGAAAUGGCCACAGUGUGCUUUUACUCAAACGGUUGUGAAUGUUGAACUAUCAGCAUUGUGAAAUCUGAGAUGCAAAGUUAUUAUUUUUCAGCUCCCAUAUUGUCUAUUACAAUUGUGUGUUGAUAAUCUGAACAAUGAUCUGAUUGGAUCUAGUUGUCAAGUUAUAUGUCAACUUGCAAACAAGUAUUUAGUCUGUGAUUUGAAGAUUUUUUUCUUCAAUAUCCCUUGAUUAUUUUUGCAGGCCACUUCUUUUAAAUUUAUCCUCCAACAAUAGGUGACUCAAUUUUUUACAAUUUUCAGACACUCCUUGUAGAUCUUAUCAUUUACAGUUAGAUUCAACAUCUCUAUGUCAACAAACUUGACUGCCAAAUCUUAAGUGCUCGUGCCUUAGCAUGAAUAAACUCUCAUCUAGAAAAAAUUAGAAUUAAGUUUCCUUAUCCCUUCUCACUUAAACAAAAGUUUUCAGUUGCCUUGUUUUACACUAGCUAAUGCCAUUAUAUGUUAUCUACAUAACAUUUCAUUGCGUCCAAUACAAUAUUUUUUGUUACUUUAAUUUACCUUCUUAUUUUCAGCUGUAGUUAGGUAGUUUGGAUGAGCAUUUUGAUCAUAACUUUAUUUUAGGAUGAUAAGAAAGAAAUGAAAUUGAACACAGAUUUUCCAGAGAUGCUAAAUAUGGGAUCAUUUAAUUAAAGCUAUUCAUUUGUACCAGAAAGGAAAAUUGGACAUCCAUUUGCAAUAUCACAAAUCUUGAAGAAUACAAGUUAGAAUAUACAACAGGAUCAUGAUGAUCAGAAGACAGCUAGUUGUUUACCACUUUCUAAUUUGUACAGUGAAGAUCUUGAGCAAUGUCUCAUGAAACCUGAGAUAAGCAUUUUCCUCUCUGCAUUUUUGGAGCCUCUUUUCCUAAGUAGGGGCAGAAUGUGCUCCAGGAACACAGCAUCACAAGGCAGUGAGAUAGGUCCGUCACAUGAAAAUCCAAACUCUUCUUCCGAUAGCCUUAAGAGCUCUUGAAACAUUCUAGUAUUGAGGAGUGUCAAGGGAACCAUGAAUCUUCUUCCUUCAGAGGAAUACACGACGAAGUGGCCUCUGUCUGCAAUUGAUGUGUUUUUUGUGUUGGACUCUGCAGAAGCAUCCCUCCUUAUCCAUGAGAUCCUUUUCCUCCCUAAGGCAGCCAUCUUCCGCCACCUUCUUGCUAUCUCAAGGAUUCUCCUGGAGCUAAUCAUGGCUUUCUGAUUGGUUAGAACACAAUACCUUAGAGAUGCUGGAAUAGGAUUGCGGUGGAGUUGAGUGCCUUGGUCACUAGAGCCAUUGAGGCCAUCUACUUAUAGGAUACAGAAAAAUAAUAAUGGAAAUCCAACAGUUCUCUUGAUGAUGGUUGAGAUGCAGCAGAGCCAUGUGCUCAGCAGACAAGGAGGAAAUAUAGAAUGGUGCAUGUCUGGAUUAGAUGUGAUUUUGCCUUGUUGAUUGUGGAGCAUAUUGGAGUGGCUAGCAUUGAAUGUUGUUUCUUGACUGCCCACCAGAUAAUCAAUAUCAUGUGUCUUCUUGGUGAUACAACUACAAGAUUUCGAUGUCUGAAAAUAUAUAGAUUUUGUUGUUAGUUGAGUAGUCCUUCAAGGCCCACCUACAGAUGAUGCUGUCCCUCUUGAAUUGCUUCAUUUGAUUGGAGGUGUCUAUAAAUUUAGUUCGAAACAAUCUAAUAACUUAUGAUAGUUAAAGAACUGGAACUUGGAUUUUUCUUUACACCUCCAUUCCAUAUUUUCCCAUGAUGCAGGCUUUGACCUGUAAACUCUUAAAAUGCAAUCAUAUUUUAGUAACCACUUCAAAAGAUCAAAAAAUUUCCUAUAUUGGUCCCAGUUAUAAGAAUGCCAUGUGCUUAGCAGACACAGAGAAAAUGUCAUGUUUGGAUUAUUUUUUGAUAUUGCUUUGUCCUGGGGGAGCAUACUCAAUUGGUCAGCGAUGCAUUUUCCUUCUCACCAAUUUAACAACUAGUCAUCAUGUUGGCCCAGUCUUAAAAUUUCAAUUGAGGUAUCUCAUCAAAUUGGAAUGUGAAUAUUUGAACUUUGGAUAAAGAAUAUAUCAUAUCUGAUGAGGCUAGUUUUUUUUUUCCUAUAUAUUUUUGUCUCGUUAUAUUAUAGUAUAGCUGAAGCUUCUGUAAGUAUAAUAGAUUUUAUUGUUGAUUCAAUAGUCCUGGAAGGUCCACCUGCAAGUGGUCCUGUUACAUCAAAAUUGGUUCUUUUGCUUUGAGGUGUAUACAGACUUGAGCACAUGAGGCAGUUUGUCAUUUUCUCUUAUUAAUGUUAUGGAGCUUUGCACUUAUCUUCAUGACCCUGCACUCCACCGGCAUGUCAUCCUGUUACAUCUACAUUGGAUCAUGUGCUUUGAAGUUUAUAUGGAUAAGCAUGUGAAGUAAUUUGUCAUCUUUGUUGUUAAUGUUCUGGAGCUCAGCACUUGCCUCCAUGACCCUGUUCCAUAUGUAUAUAUGGAGUCCUACAGACCCAUGUGCUCAUUAGUUAUGGGCAUAAUGUUGACAAUUUUACCGAAUUGGUUGGGCAGUUGCCUUUUUCUGGUGGGCAUAUGUACAAUUUAGUUCGGUCUAGCCUGUCAUCUAAGUGAUAUAUCAUAAGAAUCAGAUGAAACUUCUCUACUGCAUAGAAUUUACUACCUUAACGAGCCACAGGUUAUCCUAACGUUCUUGACAUUUACCAAAAUUUUGCCAUGUCAACUGAUCAGAGCAUUCAACUUAAGCUUCAGUACUAAGAUUUCCUCAGACACUUGCCUUAUCGCUCAGGUCCCCAACAAGAGUACCAGUUAUCAUUCACUGUAUAAUCGGCUGCAGAGUGACCCAAUGCCAGAUAAGAUACUUGGCCGAGAGCCCGAGAGUGCUUGUAAUCAGAUUAACUUCAUGUAGGUUUUGCUCUACUAGUGAAUGUUGAAUUUUCUGCAUUACAAAAUCUGGCAUGCAAAGUUAUCAUUUUUCAGCUCCCUUAUAUUCUAUUACAAUCAAGUAUUGAUAAUCU